AUUGGAUUUACCACUGUUUGUUUUUGCAACAUUUCGGAAAUCGGCAAAAAAAAAAAAAAAAGUUUACAAAGUCGAAGAGGCAUGUGGCAGCUAAGAAGUUGUUUCCUAGCAGAUCCAGACUCCUGCCUCAGAAUGGUAUCUGGCAUCGUAAGUGACAUCUCAAAUUCUCUAAGGACUCCACCAGGCCAAUCUGGCUGCUGAAAACUCCUGCAUGUGCAAGUAGAAGACCAGGCCCCGUAUUGACUCCAAACAAGCACCACAAGCAACAAUUACUGACCUGCAAACAAUCUUCUGGGCCUCACUGUUUUCUUACUGAAGUGAAAAUACACGCCUUAUGCAAGAG
rnacentral:lncRNA from 1 species